rnacentral:lncRNA from 1 species
UCCAAAUCAACAUUAGGGGGGAGGAUGAUCACAACUGCAACAUAUGCAAUGAAUUGAUAAUAUGAGUAUAUCAAGAAUGGUAGUUUGAGCCAUCACAUACAAGUGGCUCAAUGGAUAUCUCAAAUGACAUCGAUAUCUAAUUGAAAGUGAGAACAAGCUCUGCUACUAAUUGAAAGGACUAUGAAUUUGCCUAUGGAGGGGGGUUAAUAGGCAAAAUCUAGCAAUUAACAAAAACUUAAGCCCACUAAUGGUACCAAAUUGGCGAGGCUAAUUUUCAAAACCAGACAUGGUAGAUUUGGGAUAAGUAAACCUAAUGAGAUAUGCACUACUCCCUUUACGAGUUCUAACACAAACCAAACUUAUAGAUAUGCUUCUAUAGAUGAUUUUUAGCUAGUUCAAUAAGCUUCUGCAUACAAGACAAGCACACCAAAGUAGAUCAAAGUGGAAGUAAGAAUAAUUGAUUGGAAUGAACAAGUGAAGCAAACCAAAUCAGAGACAUGAGGAUUUG